rnacentral:rRNA from 1 species
UACGGGGGGGGCAAGCGUUGUUCGGAAUUACUGGGCGUAAAGGGUUCGUAGGUGGCUUGCUAAGUCAGACGUGAAAUCCCUCAGCUUAACUGGGGAACUGCGUCUGAUACUGGCGAGCUUGAGUGCAGGAGAGGAACGCAGAAUUCCAGGUGUAGCGGUGAAAUGCGUAGAUAUCAGGAGGAACACCGGUGGCGAAGGCGGGUCUCUGGGCCGAUAUUGACGCUGAGGAGCGAAAGCGUGGGGAGCGAACAGG